rnacentral:rRNA from 1 species
AUAAGUGAUAUAGAGCAAAACCCUAAAAACGGUACUCAGUUCGGAUUGAAGGCUGAAAUUCGCCUUCAUGAAGCUGGAAUUGCUAGUAAUGGCAGGUCAGCAUACUGCCGUGAAUACGUUCCCGGGCCUUGUACACACCGCCCGUCACACCAUGAGAGUUGGGAAUACCCGAAGCCUGUGAGCUAACAUAUGAGGCAGCAGUCGAAGGUAGAAUCAAUGAUUGGGGUGAAGUCGUAACAAGGUACC